rnacentral:misc_RNA from 1 species
GAUGAAGAACGUAGCGAAACGCGAUAAGUAAUGUGAAUUGCAGAAUCCAGUGAAUCAUCGAAUCUUUGAACGCACAUUGCGCCCGCCAGCAUUCUGGCGGGCAUGUCUGUUCGAGCGUCAUUUCAACCCUCGACCUCCCCUUGGGGAGGUCGGCGUUGGGGACCGGCAGCACACCGCCGGCCCUGAAAUGGAGUGGCGGCCCGUCCGCGGCGACCUCUGCGCAGUAAUACAGCUCGCACCGGGACCCCGACGCGGCCACGCCGUAAAACACCCAACUUCUGAACGUUGACCUCGAAUCAGGUAGGACUACCCGCUGAACUUAAGCAUAUCAAUAAGCGGAGGA